CAUUACUGAUUGGCUUAAUUGCACAACAUGUGUUUUUUAUUGAACAAAUUUCUUGGGUGGCGGGAGCAAUCUUACGGCCAGAGGUAAUAAUUAAACCAAACUUUUUAUUUACAGUCAAACUUGAUUUAUUAUUACAAUAGUCAAAACUUUCAACAACGNUAUCUCUUGGUUCUGGCAUCGAUGAAGAACGCAGCGAAAUGCNNAUACGUAAUAUGAAUUGCAGAUAUUCGUGAUAUCAUCGAUAUCUUUGAACGCACAUGGCGCCUUUNUGGUAUUCCAAAGGGCAUGCUNUGUUUGAGCGUCAUUUUUCCUUCAANNCCCCCGGGUUUGGUGUUGAGCAAUACGUUAGGUUUGUUUGAAAGAAUUUAACGUGGAAACUUAUUUUAAGCGACUUAGGUUAAUCCAACACGCUUAUUUUGCUAGUGGCCACCACAAUUUAUU
rnacentral:misc_RNA from 1 species